AUGUCUGAGGUUGUGACCGGACCGAUGGGCACCCUCCUUCCCAAGCUGGCUGACCUGCUCAUGGAGCACUACAAACUUCACAAGGGUGUCAGGGGUGAGAUCAUGUUCCUCAAAGCCGAGAUGGAGAGCAUGGAGACAGCUCUCCUCAGGAUCUCUGAGGCGCCAAUCGACCAGCCACCGGACAUCCAAGUUAAGCUUUGGGCCAAGGCUGUGAGGGACUUGUCAUACGACCUUGAAGAUAGCAUCGACAAGUUCAUGGUGCGCAUCGAAACCCAUGGCCGACCAGACAAGUCCCAUAGCUUCAGGAAUUUCAUUGAUAAGAGCCUCAGCCUGCUGACCAAGGGCAAGAUUCGUCACAAGAUUGGCAUCGAUAUCAAAGACAUCAAGAGCCGCAUCAAGGAGGUCAGUGAGCGGCGUGAUAGGUACAACGUUGACAGUGUGGCCGCUGCCAAGCCAAUUGGUCCAACUAUUGAUACCCUUCACAUUCUUGAGGUAGUCGAGAUGUUGACAGAGGGAGAUGAGGUUUCCAGGAAACAGCUGAAGGUGGUCUCUAUUGUUGGAUCUGGUGGAUUGGGCAAGACAACCCUUGCCAAUGCAGUGUAUAAGAAGCUGAGAGUGCAAAUCGGUAUUCAAAAGCAAAAGUUGCAAUUCGAUUGUGCGGCAUUUGUUUCCGUGUCACUUAAUCCUAAUAUGAAGCAGAUUUUCAAGAGCAUGCUCCAUCAACUUGACAAGCAGACGUACCAGAACAUUAAUGAGGCAUCAUGGGGCGAGCAACAACUCAUCAGUGAGAUAAGAACAUUCCUUGAAAACAAGAGGUGCUUGAUAGUUAUUGAUGACAUAUGGGAUAAAUCCGUCUGGGAAAAUAUCAAGUAUGCGUUGAUUGAGAAUGGAUACGGAAGUAGAGUAAUCACAACAACUCGGGUUCUUGAUGUUUCCCUGCAAGCUGGUGGUGUAUAUCGGCUGAAACCCCUUUCUGUUGUCAACUCAAGAAAGUUGUUUUAUCAAAAAAUAUAUGAGAUGGAGAACAAGUCACCACCUAAUCAAUUGGUUGAAGUAUCUGAGAGAAUUUUAAAAAGAUGUAGGGGAAUUCCACUAGCUAUCCUUACCAUAGGUAGCUUGCUGUCUAGUGAAAAGGGAAGAGCACAUACACAUGAGUAUUGGUCCAAGGUGUACAAAUCCAUCAGUUCGGGGCUAGACAAUAGUCAUGAUGAUGUGAAGAACAUGAGAAGAAUAUUAUCUACCAUGAAUGAAGAAGUUGGUAAUCACCCGGCAACUGUCAGCUUGUCCCACGUGAGGUCACUUAUGCCAAGGUGGAUGUGCUCCAUGUCUUGCCUCUUCUUCCUAAGUAUCACACUGAAUACAUUAGAAGUGGAGGACCUUCAAUUUCUCGAGAGCAUAGUUUCUCUCACUGAACUGGAGAUAGAAGUGCAGAAACCAACACAAGACAGAGUUAACCGUUUGGCCACUGGCAGUGCUUAUCCAUUUUUGUGUCUAAAGAUGUUCAGUGUCAAGAGUGACACCAUGGAGUUGAGGUUUGGACGAGGAGCCAUGCAAAGUCUCCAAACCCUGAAGUUGGAUUUGCAAGAUGUGGCGGACACAAUACUCCAGUUUGGUGAUUUUGCAUUGGGUUUAGAGAACCUUUAA
rnacentral:rRNA from 1 species